UAAACAGUAUUUUUCUGAAUAUCGCAAAAAUCAAAAUUGCAUUUUAGUCUAAAAUGACAAAAUUGCAUUAAUAAAUGCAUGCAUUAAUUUCUGAAAUUACAGUAUUUUGAUGAGUGGUUGAAUGUGUUAUAAUUCAUAUUUACUUAUUUGAAAGGUUAUUACACCAUAUUUUGCUAUUAGUUUUAAAAGUAGAUGAGUAAUAUGAUAUAAAUGGUCUCUAAGCAGGCAUCUCCAAAUAGAAUUUUUUAUCAUUGGAAGUCAUAUUUAUUGUGUGAAUCAGCUGAAAAAAAUAUUUAGCAUAUAAAAUAUAGGAUAUACCUAAAUGCAUUUUGUGUUCUGUCAUAUCCUAUAUUUUAUAAUGUUAAUGUAAUAAAAGAGUAAUUGUAGUAUCUAUUGUAUGUUAAAUCAAGAUGAAUAUAGAAAAAUAAUAUGGGAAAAUUGGUCAGUCAUAAAUCUGGAUAUCCCUAAAGGCUACUUUAUAAGUCAUCUUUAAAUUCAUAUCAGGUAUACCUGUAGAUUGUUUAAUUCAGUUCUAUCAUGAAAGCAUUGUGAACAAGUCUUUGUUUUGAAUUUUUCUUUUUUUAAAGAGUCAUUGAAUGUUAUACUUUGUACAUUUAUUGUUUUGUGUUACAGUAUUUUUCAGUUAUAAAGAUGUUUGGUAUUUAUUGUGUCACAUGACAAAGAAGAAGCUGUUGCAACAUGUGUAUUCAAUAUUUAAGUUGCUGUUAGUUAUUAUAGAAUAGGAUAUAAAUGUUUAAAUAAGCAGUAUUACUUGCAUUUGAAUCCUAGAUUUGUUUUUAUUUGCAAUGGUUUGUGUGUAUUUGUUUUAAUAUUCUGUGUUUA
rnacentral:lncRNA from 1 species